UCACAUUUUUUCAGACCAGAUGGGGGAGAAACAUAACCGCUCAUAGAUAAUAGCCUAACGGAUUAUAUCAUUUUAAAUGCCAUGCAAUAAACAUUAGGGUGUUUAACCUACAUGUCUAUUUUCAAAAUAUAUUCAUGCGUCUUAAUGCAAAUAUCAUGAUAUCUCAUGCAUCAUUUAUAUUUUAUCAUAGUCAUAUCAUUU
rnacentral:lncRNA from 1 species